rnacentral:sRNA from 1 species
AUCUAGUACAGAUAGCAAAUUUUUAGCUCCUAUUGUAGCUGCUAAAUUAAAAGCUGGAUACGCA